AUGGGUUGGGGUGGCACUCUAUCCAUACCUCUGAUCAGCAAGUUAAGCGUCACGCAUAUGGUUUGGCUUUUGGGGAUGGUGGAUGAGGUCAGACAAGCCAUUAUUUUGGGACCGAAUAAGGUAUUUAAGUUCAAUGAGAGCGAUGUUGAGAAGGUAUUCGGAAUCCCGGCAGCUGGAAUAGAUGUGAUGGGCAAAACUCUGGAUAGGAGCGAGACUGUAUUUGCCCAUAAGGGGAUGCUUGGGCAUGCUAUAAGGGGAAGAUGUCACAAACAGAGGUGGCUGCAUUCGAAACUGCAUACAUCGUAUCUAGAUAGCAUUAAUUUGGGGGAAAUAAGCAUGGCACAUGAUGUGUUCCCCAGAAUAAAAGUUUUCACGGCGGAUAAAACUAGAGCCAUGAUCAAUGCCGACAAAAGGCCGAUGGAUUCAACGAAGAAUAGAGAUUUCAUUUUUGGCAGUUCAGCAGUAAGUCUCCACCCAGACCAUUAUAGGAUUCAGUUUAGCACUGCAUCUUCAGAGAGAGGGCAUACUCGUCGAUUUUUUCUCUUGUUUCGCAGCCACGAGAUGCUGCUAGUUCAGCAUAUUCCAGGGCAGAUAACGACUAUAUUGCACAACAACAAGGGGAUGCUUGGGCAUGUGCAUCAAAGAUUUGUGAUUCUAUGGGCUUGA
rnacentral:rRNA from 1 species